rnacentral:rRNA from 1 species
ACGCUCGACACCUACGGGGGGCAGCAGUUGGGAAUAUUGGACAAUGGAGGAAACUCUGAUCCAGUGACGCCGCGUGAAGGAAGAAGGUCUUCGGAUUGUAAACUUAUUUUGUCAGGGAAGAAAAAAUGACUGUACCUGAAGAAAAAGCACCGGCUAACUACGUGCCGCAGCCGCCGGUAAGUACUGAGCGGGCGUGGCGAAGGACG